rnacentral:tRNA from 1 species
ACUCUUUUAGUUUAUAUAAAAAUGUUACUCUGAAGAAGUAGAGAAUUUUAGGAGUG